rnacentral:misc_RNA from 1 species
CGAGAAAGGGGGCUUCGGUCCCUGAGUAAAGCGGCUCACGGGUGAGUAUCACGUGGGUAACGUGCCCUCCGGAUGGGGGAUAACACCUCGCAAGGGGUGCUAAUACCGCGUACGACCCCGAGGCUUCGGCUUCGGGGUGAUAGGGGAAACCUGACGGAGGAUCGGCCCGCGGCCCAUCAGCUUGUUGGCGGGGUAACGGCCCACCAAGGCGACGACGGGUAGCUGGUCUGAGAGGAUGAUCAGCCACACUGGAACUGAGACACGGUCCAGACUCCUACGGGAGGCAGCAGUG